UCUUUAAAUAGGGACUAGUAUCAACGGCAUCACGAGGGUUACACUGUCUCCUUUCUCCAAUCAGUGAAACUGAUCUCCCCGUGAAGAAGCGGGGAUAUAACUAUAAGACGAGAAGACCCCAUGGAGCUUUAAAUUUACAGCAACUCAGUUAAACAAUCCCUUGUAAUUUACAGAGCAUGCAUACCAAUUUUAGGUUGGGGUGACCGCGGAGUAAAAAUUAACCUCCACGACGAAAAGAACUAAAUCUUUAUCCAAGAGCUACAACUCUAAGAAUUAGUAUACUAACGACAAUGACCCGAUAAUCGAUCAACGGACCAAGUUACCCUGGGGAUAACAGCGCAAUCUACUUCGAGAGCCCAUAUCGACAAGUAGGCUUACGACCUCGAUGUUGGAUCAGGGUAUCCUAGUGGUGCAGCCGCUACUAAUGGUUC
rnacentral:rRNA from 1 species